CUCCUCUGGGUUAAGAUUUUCAAGUCUUACAGGGGGGUGCUCAUCUCUUAUGGGGGUGGGGGCCGAGCCCAGCCCCACCCAAGCUCCCUUUUAAAUCACAUCCUACUUAAUACCCAUGACUAAGGGCCUGACCCACUGCCUGGCCAUGGGAAGACUUUUUUGACCUUGGUGAACUUUGGUUCAACCUCCAAGUCAAACUGUUUCUCUUAGUGAGGUUGCACAGAAGCUCCUGACAAUGAUCUCAACAAGGAAACCUGGGUCUCCUCCUGACAGCUUUCUGAACUAAAAUGCAUCAGCGGUACACUUCAGUUUAAAGUGUACCGCUGCCAUUUUCUGUGUGUUGAUGAGCAUUUUGCCACUUAUUGUACAUGGCGUAACGCAGUUUGCAUCAGCUUGCAUCCAAAGUGGCACAUCUCUGGUGUGUCACGGGACAAAAAGAAUGUGGUAAGAAAUGGUGUGAAAGGUCUUCUUAAAGUCCAGGAAGAUGACAUCCACUGCGACACCCUCAUCCAGGGACUUUGU